UGAAGGUUUUGGGAAGUUUCUCCUUCAAGGAUUCUCAAAUACCCUAGUUUGCUACAGCUGUCUCUCUCUCCUAAUACACCUUAACCCAGCUAGUUGGGACUCCCCUCCACGCCUUCGAUGCCUUAACAGCGGGGAUAUACCGGAAAUAUCGCGCGCUGACCAACUGAUAGCUCCUCGGAAUGCAAAGCGGCAGAGAUUUGAUUUCUCUUAGGUCGACGAUCGAUUUUGUUUUUUUCUUUCUCAGUAAAAUAUGGAUACUAACAUUGUGUUUGUUUUCAAUCGGAGUAAAUUCGUCAAAACGGAGCAGCGAAGAGAUUAGGCAAAAACGUUUUCUGGAUCAGAUUUUUCUAGAGCUUCAAACCCUAACUAUUUUGCGGCGUUUAACAGAUUUGAGAGUACAACUAUACCGUCGGAGACAUUUCAUUUUUGAAUUUUUGAGAUUCUUCAAGGUAUGUGUCUUAUUUUCUUUCGAAAAAUUCUCGUCAUUUUAUUUUUCUGGAAAUGAGAUUCUUAUUUUUGAUGUUACUGUUUGAAUCUGAAAAUAGGUAUAAUCUAGUUAUUUGUUCACUUUGAGAAAGGUUGAAUUUAACAGUGUACGUUUGCCUUUUACUUCUCCAGCUACUUAUAAAAAGUAGCUUGCCUGUAUGUUGAAGGUGUUGAAUGUGUGUUGAAGGCGAGCUAUUUUCCUUUUCUCUAGAAUUUUGAAGGUGCUAUUUUUUAUUUGACUUACUCUCCCCGUUCAUUCAUGUGGUCGUGUU